rnacentral:rRNA from 1 species
AUUGAACGCUGGCGGCAUGCCUUACACAUGCAAGUCGAACGGUAACAGGGUGCUUGCACCGCUGACGAGUGGCGAACGGGUGAGUAAUGCGUCGGAACGUGCCCAGUAGUGGGGGAUAGCCCGGCGAAAGCCGGAUUAAUACCGCAUACGACCUGAGGGUGAAAGGGGGGGAUCGCAAGACCUCUCGCUAUUGGAGCGGCCGAUGUCAGAUUAGCUAGUUGGUGGGGUAAAGGCCUACCAAGGCAACGAUCUGUAGUUGGUCUGAGAGGACGACCAGCCACACUGGGACUGAGACACGGCCCAGACUCCUACGGGAGGCAGCAGUGGGGAAUUUUGGACAAUGGGCGCAAGCCUGAUCCAGCAAUGCCGCGUGCAGGAAGAAGGCCUUCGGGUUGUAAACUGCUUUUGUCAGGGAAGAAAUCUUCUGGGUUAAUACCUCGGGAGGAUGACGGUACCUGAAGAAUAAGCACCGGCUAACUACGUGCCAGCCGCCGCGGUAACAC